AAGAAGGCCUUCGGGUUGUAAACCGCUUUUGUCAGGGAAGAAACGCUCUGGGUUAAUACCUCGGGGUAAUGACGGUACCUGAAGAAUAAGCACCGGCUAACUACGUGCCAGCAGCCGCGGUAAUACGUAGGGUGCAAGCGUUAAUCGGAAUUACUGGGCGUAAAGCGUGCGCAGGCGGUUAUGCAAGACAGAUGUGAAAUCCCCGGGCUCAACCUGGGAACUGCAUUUGUGACUGCAUGGCUAGAGUACGGUAGAGGGGGAUGGAAUUCCGCGUGUAGCAGUGAAAUGCGUAGAUAUGCGGAGGAACACCGAUGGCGAAGGCAAUCCCCUGGACCUGUACUGACGCUCAUGCACGAAAGCGUGGGGAGCAAACA
rnacentral:rRNA from 1 species